rnacentral:misc_RNA from 1 species
GAUGAAGAACGUAGCGAAAUGCGAUAAGUAGUGUGAAUUGCAGAAUUCAGUGAAUCAUCGAAUUUUUGAACGCACAUUGCGCCCCUUGGUAUUCCAUGGGGCAUGCCUGUUCGAGCGUCAUUUGUACCUUCAAGCGCUGCUUGGUGUUGGGUGUUUGUCUCGCCUCUGCGUGUAGACCCGCCUCAAAACAAUUGGCAGCCGGCGUAUUGAUUUCGGAGCGCAGUACAUCUCGCGCUUUGCACUCAUAACGACGACGUCCAAAAGUACAUUUUUACACUCUUGACCUCGGAUCAGGUAGGGAUACCCGCUGAACUUAAGCAUACAAUAAGCGGAGGA